UACGUAGGGGGCGAGCGUUGUCCGGAUUUAUUGGGCGUAAAGAGCGUGUAGGCGGCCAGGUAGGUCCGUUGUGAAAACUCGAGGCUCAACCUCGAGACGUCGAUGGAAACCAUCUGGCUAGAGUCCGGAAGAGGAGAGUGGAAUUCCUGGUGUAGCGGUGAAAUGCGCAGAUAUCAGGAAGAACACCAACGGCGAAGGCAGCUCGCUAGGACGGUACUGACGCUGAGACGCGAAAGCGUGGGGAGCGAACAGG
rnacentral:rRNA from 1 species